ACAAAGACGACCUUAAGAGUCCACAAUCCAGAAGAAAAACAGAAGCUGCGAACAAAAUGCAGAGAACUGCUCAGGACCAUGUUCCCUACCAAGGACUUCGAGGGCCACAGUUCAGAGAAGGAAGCUACUGCGCAGGAUACCGUCAGCUGACAAAAGGGAAGCCCAGUAACAGGAAGAAGCAUCAAGUGCAAGCGCAAGUAAAGCAGGACACUGAGCUCCUUUCUCACCUUUGCAGAAUCAUCUUAAAGACCUGUCUAUGGUCAAGUUGCUCCAAAAAACUGAGCUUUGCUGGGAACCCAGUUCUAAAUUGACAGUUAUUCCUCUGGGGACUGUUUGGACACUCGUCCACACGGCUACGGUGCUCACGUGGUUGCUGCUGAAAAGUCAUUUGUUCAUCCAGUCGCUGUUUCUCCAAAAAUCCCUCUAGUGUAAAAUGGGGAAUAAUAAAAAAUGCCUGCCCUCAAAGCAUAUUGGUGCCUGCAAUUUACGUUCAAACGUAUUUUUAAAAAGAUGGAUUGAUGGGAGAAUACAGGUAUGGACAGAUACGUGAUAAAGAAGGGCUUCCCAGUGGCUCAGUGACA